GGUUAAGCGACUAAGCGUACACGGUGGAUGCCCUGGCAGUCAGAGGCGAUGAAGGACGUGCUAAUCUGCGAUAAGCGUCGGUAAGGUGAUAUGAACCGUUAUAACCGGCGAUUUCCGAAUGGGGAAACCCAGUGUGUUUCGACACACUAUCAUUAACUGAAUCCAUAGGUUAAUGAGGCGAACCGGGGGAACUGAAACAUCUAAGUACCCCGAGGAAAAGAAAUCAACCGAGAUUCCCCCAGUAGCGGCGAGCGAACGGGGAGGAGCCCAGAGCCUGAAUCAGUAUGUGUGUUAGUGGAAGCGUCUGGAAAGGCGCGCGAUACAGGGUGACAGCCCCGUACACAAAAAUGCACAUAUUGUGAGCUCGAUGAGUAGGGCGGGACACGUGGUAUCCUGUCUGAAUAUGGGGGGACCAUCCUCCAAGGCUAAAUACUCCUGACUGACCGAUAGUGAACCAGUACCGUGAGGGAAAGGCGAAAAGAACCCCGGCGAGGGGAGUGAAAAAGAACCUGAAACCGUGUACGUACAAGCAGUGGGAGCACGCUUAGGCGUGUGACUGCGUACCUUUUGUAUAAUGGGUCAGCGACUUAUAUUCUGUAGCAAGGUUAACCGAAUAGGGGAGCCGAAGGGAAACCGAGUCUUAACUGGGCGUUAAGUUGCAGGGUAUAGACCCGAAACCCGGUGAUCUCAGCCAUGGGCAGGUUGAAGGUUGGGUAACACUAACUGGAGGACCGAACCGACUAAUGUUGAAAAAUUAGCGGAUGACUUGUGGCUGGGGGUGAAAGGCCAAUCAAACCGGGAGAUAGCUGGUUCUCCCCGAAAGCUAUUUAGGUAGCGCCUCGUGAAUUCAUCUCCGGGGUAGAGCACUGUUUCGGCAAGGGGGUCAUCCCGACUUACCAACCCGAUGCAAACUGCGAAUACCGGAGAAUGUUAUCACGGGAGACACACGGCGGGUGCUAACGUCCGUCGUGAAGAGGGAAACAACCCAGACCGCCAGCUAAGGUCCCAAAGUCAUGGUUAAGUGGGAAACGAUGUGGGAAGGCCCAGACAGCCAGGAUGUUGGCUUAGAAGCAGCCAUCAUUUAAAGAAAGCGUAAUAGCUCACUGGUCGAGUCGGCCUGCGCGGAAGAUGUAACGGGGCUAAACCAUGCACCGAAGCUGCGGCAGCGACGCUUAUGCGUUGUUGGGUAGGGGAGCGUUCUGUAAGCCUGCGAAGGUGUGCUGUGAGGCAUGCUGGAGGUAUCAGAAGUGCGAAUGCUGACAUAAGUAACGAUAAAGCGGGUGAAAAGCCCGCUCGCCGGAAGACCAAGGGUUCCUGUCCAACGUUAAUCGGGGCAGGGUGAGUCGACCCCUAAGGCGAGGCCGAAAGGCGUAGUCGAUGGGAAACAGGUUAAUAUUCCUGUACUUGGUGUUACUGCGAAGGGGGGACGGAGAAGGCUAUGUUGGCCGGGCGACGGUUGUCCCGGUUUAAGCGUGUAGGCUGGUUUUCCGGGCAAAUCCGGAAAAUCAAGGCUGAGGCGUGAUGACGAGGCACUACGGUGCUGAAGCAACAAAUGCCCUGCUUCCAGGAAAAGCCUCUAAGCAUCAGGUAACAUCAAAUCGUACCCCAAACCGACACAGGUGGUCAGGUAGAGAAUACCAAGGCGCUUGAGAGAACUCGGGUGAAGGAACUAGGCAAAAUGGUGCCGUAACUUCGGGAGAAGGCACGCUGAUAUGUAGGUGAGGUCCCUCGCGGAUGGAGCUGAAAUCAGUCGAAGAUACCAGCUGGCUGCAACUGUUUAUUAAAAACACAGCACUGUGCAAACACGAAAGUGGACGUAUACGGUGUGACGCCUGCCCGGUGCCGGAAGGUUAAUUGAUGGGGUCAGCGCAAGCGAAGCUCUUGAUCGAAGCCCCGGUAAACGGCGGCCGUAACUAUAACGGUCCUAAGGUAGCGAAAUUCCUUGUCGGGUAAGUUCCGACCUGCACGAAUGGCGUAAUGAUGGCCAGGCUGUCUCCACCCGAGACUCAGUGAAAUUGAACUCGCUGUGAAGAUGCAGUGUACCCGCGGCAAGACGGAAAGACCCCGUGAACCUUUACUAUAGCUUGACACUGAACAUUGAGCCUUGAUGUGUAGGAUAGGUGGGAGGCUUAGAAGUGUGGACGCCAGUCUGCAUGGAGCCGACCUUGAAAUACCACCCUUUAAUGUUUGAUGUUCUAACGUUGACCCGUAAUCCGGGUUGCGGACAGUGUCUGGUGGGUAGUUUGACUGGGGCGGUCUCCUCCUAAAGAGUAACGGAGGAGCACGAAGGUUGGCUAAUCCUGGUCGGACAUCAGGAGGUUAGUGCAAUGGCAUAAGCCAGCUUGACUGCGAGCGUGACGGCGCGAGCAGGUGCGAAAGCAGGUCAUAGUGAUCCGGUGGUUCUGAAUGGAAGGGCCAUCGCUCAACGGAUAAAAGGUACUCCGGGGAUAACAGGCUGAUACCGCCCAAGAGUUCAUAUCGACGGCGGUGUUUGGCACCUCGAUGUCGGCUCAUCACAUCCUGGGGCUGAAGUAGGUCCCAAGGGUAUGGCUGUUCGCCAUUUAAAGUGGUACGCGAGCUGGGUUUAGAACGUCGUGAGACAGUUCGGUCCCUAUCUGCCGUGGGCGCUGGAGAACUGAGGGGGCUGCUCCUAGUACGAGAGGACCGGAGUGGACGCAUCACUGGUGUUCGGGUUGUCAUGCCAAUGGCACUGCCCGGUAGCUAAAUGCGGAAGAGAUAAGUGCUGAAAGCAUCUAAGCACGAAACUUGCCCCGAGAUGAGUUCUCCCUGACCCUUUAAGGGUCCUGAAGGAACGUUGAAGACGACGACGUUGAUAGGCCGGGUGUGUAAGCGCAGCGAUGCGUUGAGCUAACCGGUACUAAUGAACCGUGAGGCUUAACCUU
rnacentral:rRNA from 1 species